GUCGAGCGGUAACAGAGAGAAGCUUGCUUCUCUGCUGACGAGCGGCGGACGGGUGAGUAAUACUUGGGAAUUUGCCUUUAGGCGGGGGACAACCACGGGAAACUGUGGCUAAUACCGCAUAAUGUCUACGGACCAAAGUGGGGGACCUUCGGGCCUCACACCUAAAGAUGAGCCCAAGCGGGAUUAGCUAGUUGGUGGGGUAAAGGCUCACCAAGGCGACGAUCCCUAGCUGUUCUGAGAGGAUGAUCAUCCACACUGGGACUGAGACACGGCCCACACCCCCAGGGGAGGCAGCUGUGGGGAUUAUUGGGCUACGGGUCAAGAUCCACUUCAGCCCUGCCACGCAUGGAAUUGAGGGGUAGCCUCCUGAUCUACCUCCAGCGACGAGGAAGGGUGUUGUGUUAAUAGCGCAGCACAUUGACGUUAGUCGCAGAAGAAGCACCGGCUAACUCCGUGCCAGCAGCCGCGGUAAUACGGAGGGUGCAAGCGUUAAUCGGAAUUACUGGGCGUAAAGCGUACGUAGGCGGCGUGUUAAGCAAGAUGUGAAAGCCCCGGGCUCAACCUGGGAAUUGCAUUUUGAACUGGCAUGCUAGAGUCCUGAAGAGGGUGGUAGAAUUUCCAGUGUAGCGGUGAAAUGCGUAGAUAUUGGAAGGAAUACCGGUGGCGAAGGCGGCCACCUGGUCAGAGACUGACGCUGAGGUACGAAAGCGUGGGGAGCAAACAGGAUUAGAUACCCUGGUAGUCCACGCCGUAAACGAUGUCAACUAGUUGUUCGUGUCAUUAAGACGUGAGUAACGCAGCUAACGCACUAAGUUGACCGCCUGGGGAGUACGGCCGCAAGGUUAAAACUCAAAUGAAUUGACGGGGGCCCGCACAAGCGGUGGAGCAUGUGGUUUAAUUCGAUGCAACGCGAAGAACCUUACCAUCCCUUGACAUCCAGUGAAUUUUUCAGAGAUGGAUUAGUGCCUUCGGGAACACUGAGACAGGUGCUGCAUGGCUGUCGUCAGCUCGUGUUGUGAGAUGUUGGGUUAAGUCCCGCAAGGAGCGCCACCCUUAUCUUUGUUUGCCAGCAAAUAAUGGUGGGAACUCCGAGGAGACUGCCGAUGAUAAACCGGAGGAAGGUGGGGAGGCAGUCCAUCAAUGCCGUUCCGUGAGGGGAGGCACACACGCUACAAUGGAGCAUGCAAAGGGCAGCAAGCCAGCGAUGGUUAGCGAAUCUCAUAAAGUGCGUCGUAGUCCGGAUCGGAGUCUGCAACUCGACUCCGUGAAGUCGGAAUCGCUUGUAAUCGUGGAUCAGAAUGCCACGGUGAAUACGUUCCCGGGCCUUGUACACACCGCCCGUCACACCAUGGGAGUGGGCUGCACCAGAAGUGGUUAGUUUAACCUUCGGGAGAACGAUCACCACGGUGUGGUUCAUGACUGGGGU
rnacentral:rRNA from 1 species